UGGGGGUUAUUGCACAAUGGGCGAAAGCCUGAUGCAGCGACGCCGCGUGGGGGAUGAAGGCUUUCGGGUUGUAAACCUCUUUCGCUAUCGAACAAGGCCCGCUUAGGGUGGGUUGAGGGUAGGUGGAGAAGAAGCGCCGGCUAACUACGUGCCAGCAGCCGCGGUAAUACGUAGGGCGCGAGCGUUGUCCGGAAUUAUUGGGCGUAAAGGGCUUGUAGGCGGCUGGUUGCGCCUGCUGUGAAAACGCGGGGCUUAACUUCGCGCGUGCAGUGGGUACGGGCAGGAUUGAGUGUGGUAGGGGUGACUGGAAUUCCAGGUGUAGCGGUGGAAUGCGCAGAUAUCUGGAGGAACACCGAUGGCGAAGGCAGGUCACUGGGCCAUUACUGACGCUGAGGAGCGAAAGCAUGGGUAGCGAACAGG
rnacentral:rRNA from 1 species